CCCUUGGAAAUGCAUUUUUUCCACGACUCCGGAAUUCCACUGUGAAUAAGUUGAUCUCCCCUGGAAUUUCCAGUUCCGGUAUCAUUAUUUUAUCCCCUUUCCCGGAAUUUCCAUGUAAAUCUUAUUAUUUUGACCCCCACCCACUGGAAUUCCAGGGUUAUUUCGACCCCCACCCACUGGAAUUCCAGGUUGGUUUGACCCCCACCCACUGGAAUUCCAGGGUUAAAUAUAAAAGGCAUCCCCUGGAUUUCCAAGGUCCUCAACAGGGG